AGCAUCCUAUAUCUCUCCUAUAACUGUUCUGAGACCAGUGCAGACAGACAGCACACUGGAGGUUAAGUCGUGCACUAAAUAGGGAGCAAGGGAGCAUCCUAUAGCUCUCUAUAACUGUUCUGAGACCAGUGCAGACAGACAGCACACUGGAGGUUAAGUCAUGCACUAAAUAGGGAGCAAGGGAGCAUCCUAUAUCUCUCCUAUAACUGUUCUGAGACCAGUGCAGACAGACAGCACACUGGAGGUUAAGUCAUGCACUAAAUAGGGAGCAAGGGAGCAUCCUAUAUCUCUCCUAUAACUGUUCUGAGACCAGUGCAGACAGACAGCACACUGGAGGUUAAGUCAUGCACUAAAUAGGGAGCAAGGGAGCAUCCUAUAUCUCUCCUAUAACUGUUCUGAGACCAGUGCAGACAGACAGCACACUGGAGGUUAAGUCAUGCACUAAAUAGGGAGCAAGGGAGCAUCCUAUAUCUCUCCUAUAACUGUUCUGAGACCAGUGCAGACAGACAGCACACUGGAGGUUAAGUCAUGCACUAAAUAGGGAGCAAGGGAGCAUCCUAUAGCUCUCUAUGCAGUUAAGUGCGUUC